GAGAGCCGAGGUGGCGGGUCAGGCUCCGAAGCCGCCGGCCACGUCCACUCCCGCCGGACGCGCUCCUCUCGGCUGUUUGCUGCAGCCCCGGGAGGGGCCGGAGGAGAAGGCCUUCAGCCGAGGUGUGAACCAGCCCUGGCCCUACACCGACAGCUGCCGGACACGGAGCCGCGGCUCAGGGGACGCGGCUAAAAAAGACGAGGACGAGAGGGCUGCCCGCCCGCCGGCCGGCUCUGCUGCUUGUGGAAAUCUCGGCCUUUCCUCCGCUGGCAGUUGCAGGCCACCUGGCCCUGGGAGGGGCAGCAGCCUGGAACCGGAGCUUUCAGUCCAACGGCAGCCCCGGCCUGCGCUUCUGACCCGCAGAGGUCAGAGGUCAUGGUCCCCGCUCUGCAGAGGUCAGAGGUCAUGGUCACCGAGGUACUUGCGGGGGCCGCUAGCUGGGUGUUUGACAUCUUAGUGCAGUUACGUCUCUGCAGCGAGAUCCCACGGGGGAAGUGGCCAUCGGGGGGCCCGCUGGGUGGGAAAGGCACGAGCAGCCAGGCUGGAGCCAGAGCACAGGAUGGAGGGGCUCCCCAAACUAGAAAACCAUGACUCAUCCUGUUUGACGGCAGCAGCUUCGAGGUCAGAAUCGAUGCCGAAAAGUUCCAGGUGAAGAAACAUCACGUUUUCAAACCGAGUCGGGAUGCCCUUGGGCCGUGUGCCCCGCCCGGCACGCCCACCGGCUUCCUGCCGCGGCCUCGGUGCGCGGGGCCACCGGCCACUUGUGUGGCGAGAAGGGUCAUCUCGCCGCAGCCGGUCCCAGGGCCGCCGAGCAGGGACCCAGGAAGCCGGCUCGCUCCCGGGGGCCGGGGCAUUCGGGGAGCAGGUGGACCUUUGGGUGCUCCUGUUCCGGGAGGACCGGCCCCCCCACUUUGUGCCAGGAUACAAUAACCAGCCCCCCACCCAUUUCAGGGCAAGUGGCCCGAGGGCUGAGGAAGGCCCGUCUUGUUUUUCUCUAGAACGUUCCAGACUCGUGGCCUCAUGUCAGUUCUGUUUGGGCAGCAAGUGUCUCAUGCUCCCCCUGGGAGAUACGGAGACGGUGUAAGUUCACCCACCGGGGGCUUCUCUGUCCCCAGGAGCGCGCACGCUCUCUCUCUCUCUCUCUCUCUCUCUCUGUCUCUCUCUCUAAAUGGACUUUUUAGAGAGAGAGGAAGGGGGGGAGGGAGAGAGAGAGAGAAACACUGAUGUGUUGUUCCACUUAUUCGUGCGUUCAUUGGUGGCUUCUGGGUAUCGAACCGGCAACCUUGGUGUUUGGGGACGACGCUCUGACCCUCGGAGCCCCGGCCUCUUAGGAAGCCCCCUCGGGCUGGUCCUGGAGGCACCUCGUUUCCUAGCCUCGCGCCUCCCUGCCUGCGCUCCCGGAAGCUCUCUGCACGCAGCUCAGGCCUCACCCAAGAACGACCCCUUCUCAGAGCCGCCCGCCCUGAACGCGAGCCCUGACCUGUCCCCCCGAUUAUCAGUGGAAGGAGUUUCUUUCCUCCAUUAAUCUCAGCGUUGGCUUCCUGGUGUGUUCACCCCUGAUCCCACGGCCGG